rnacentral:rRNA from 1 species
UACGUAGGGGGCGAGCGUUGUCCGGAUUUACUGGGCGUAAAGCGCGCGCAGGCGGUUUGCCACGUCCGUUGUGAAAGCUCCCGGCUCAACUGGGAGAGGUCUUCGGAUACGGGCAGACUCGAGGGAGGCAGAGGAAGGUGGAAUUCCCGGUGUAGUGGUGAAAUGCGUAGAGAUCGGGAGGAACACCAGUGGCGAAGGCGGCUCACUGGCCCGUAACUGACGCUGAGGUGCGAAAGCGUGGGGAGCAAACAGG